rnacentral:rRNA from 1 species
CCUACGGGUGGCAGCAGUGAGGAAUAUUGGUCAAUGGCCGUAAGGCUGAACCAGCCAAGUAGCGUGAGGGAAGCAUGCCCUAUGGGUUGUAAACCUCUUUUAUUCGGGGAUAAAGGUGUCCACGUGUGGAUGUUUGCAGGUACCGCAUGAAUAAGGACCGGCUACUUCCGUGCCAGCAGCCGCGUUAAUACGGCGGGUACGGGCGUUAUCAGGAUGUAUUGGGUUUGAAGGGAGAGUAGGACGGUCUUGAAGCGUGCCGGGAAAUUUUGUGGCUCAACCAUGAGAGUGCGGCGCGAACUGGAGACCUUGAGGGCGCGGAAGGCAGGCGGAAUGCGUGGUGUAGCGGUGAAAUGCUUAGAUAUCACGAAGAACCCCGAUUGCGAAGGCAGCCUGCCGCAGCGUUACUGACGCUGAAGCUCGAAAGCGCGGGUAUCGAACAGGAUUAGAUACCCCAGUAGUC